GAGGGUAUAGCUCAGUGGUAGAGUGCAUGCUUAGCAUGCACAAGGUCCUGGGUUCAAUCCCAGUACCUCCA
rnacentral:tRNA from 1 species